rnacentral:rRNA from 1 species
UACGUAGGGACCGAGCGUUGUCCGGAAUCAUUGGGCGUAAAGAGCGUGUAGGCGGCUUGCUAAGUCUUGCGUGAAAUCUCGGGCUCAACCCGAGCGGUCGUGGGAAACUGGCAGGCUAGAGUGCGGGAGAGGAGAAUGGAAUUCCUGGUGUAGCGGUGAAAUGCGCAGAUAUCAGGAAGAACACCAGUGGCGAAGGCGGCUCACUGGUCCGGUACUGACGCUGAGGUGCGAAAGCGUGGGGAGCAAACAGG